rnacentral:misc_RNA from 1 species
AACGCACAUUGCGCCCGCCAGUAUUCUGGCGGGCAUGCCUGUCCGAGCGUCAUUUCAACCCUCCAGCGCGUUCUCGCUGGGCGUUGGGGACCGGGCCCGCCGCAAGGCGGGCGUGGCCCCGAAACGAAGUGGCGGCCGUCCCGUGGACCCCCCUGCGCAGUAACUCACCUCGCAUCGGACAGCGGAGCGGCCUCGCCCGUCAACCCCAAGACAACAUCAAGGUUGACCUCGGAUCAGGUAGGAAUACCCGCUGAACUUAA